rnacentral:rRNA from 1 species
CCUACGGGGGGCAGCAGUGAGGAAUAUUGGUCAAUGGACGAGAGUCUGAACCAGCCAAGUAGCGUGAAGGAUGACUGCCCUAUGGGUUGUAAACUUCUUUUAUAUGGGAAUAAAAUGUUCCACGUGUGGGAUUUUGUAUGUACCAUAUGAAUAAGGAUCGGCUAACUCCGUGCCAGCAGCCGCGGUAAUACGGAGGAUCCGAGCGUUAUCCGGAUUUAUUGGGUUUAAGGGGAGCGUAGGGGGAUUGUUAAGUCAGGUGUGAAAGUUUGCGGCUCAACCGUAAAAUUGCAGUUGAAACUGGCAGUCUUGAGUACAGUAGAGGUGGGCGGAAUUCGUGGUGUAGCGGUGAAAUGCUUAGAUAUCACGAAGAACUCCGAUUGCGAAGGCAGUUCACUGGACUGCAACUGACACUGAGGCUCGAAAGUGUGGGUAUCAAACAGGAUUAGAUACCCUUGUAGUC